UCAAGUGAAGAAGCGCAUACGGUGGAUGCCUUGGCAGUCAGAGGCGAUGAAAGACGUGGUAGCCUGCGAAAAGCUUCGGGGAGUCGGCAAACAGACUUUGAUCCGGAGAUCUCUGAAUGGGGGAACCCACCUAGGAUAACCUAGGUAUCUUGUACUGAAUCCAUAGGUGCAAGAGGCGAACCAGGGGAACUGAAACAUCUAAGUACCCUGAGGAAAAGAAAUCAACCGAGAUUCCCUUAGUAGUGGCGAGCGAACGGGGAUUAGCCCUUAAACUUCAUUGAUUUUAGCGGAACGCUCUGGAAAGUGCGGCCAUAGUGGGUGAUAGCCCCGUACGCGAAAGGAUCUUUGAAGUGAAAUCGAGUAGGACGGAGCACGAGAAACUUUGUCUGAACAUGGGGGGACCAUCCUCCAAGGCUAAAUACUACUGACUGACCGAUAGUGAACCAGUACCGUGAGGGAAAGGCGAAAAGAACCCCGGAGAGGGGAGUGAAAUAGAACCUGAAACCGUAUGCGUACAAGCAGUGGGAGCCUACUUGUUAGGUGACUGCGUACCUUUUGUAUAAUGGGUCAGCGACUUAUAUUCAGUGGCAAGCUUAACCGUAUAGGGUAGGCGUAGCGAAAGCGAGUCUUAAUAGGGCGUUUAGUCGCUGGGUAUAGACCCGAAACCGGGCGAUCUAUCCAUGAGCAGGUUGAAGGUUAGGUAACACUGACUGGAGGACCGAACCCACUCCCGUUGAAAAGGUAGGGGAUGACUUGUGGAUCGGAGUGAAAGGCUAAUCAAGCUCGGAGAUAGCUGGUUCUCCUCGAAAGCUAUUUAGGUAGCGCCUCAUGUAUCACUCUGGGGGGUAGAGCACUGUUUCGGCUAGGGGGUCAUCCCGACUUACCAAACCGAUGCAAACUCCGAAUACCCAGAAGUGCCGAGCAUGGGAGACACACGGCGGGUGCUAACGUCCGUCGUGAAAAGGGAAACAACCCAGACCGCCAGCUAAGGUCCCAAAGUUGUGGUUAAGUGGUAAACGAUGUGGGAAGGCUUAGACAGCUAGGAGGUUGGCUUAGAAGCAGCCAUCCUUUAAAGAAAGCGUAAUAGCUCACUAGUCGAGUCGGCCUGCGCGGAAGAUGUAACGGGGCUCAAACCACACACCGAAGCUGCGGGUGUCACGUAAGUGACGCGGUAGAGGAGCGUUCUGUAAGCCUGUGAAGGUGAGUUGAGAAGCUUGCUGGAGGUAUCAGAAGUGCGAAUGCUGACAUGAGUAACGACAAUGGGUGUGAAAAACACCCACGCCGAAAGACCAAGGGUUCCUGCGCAACGUUAAUCGACGCAGGGUUAGUCGGUUCCUAAGGCGAGGCUGAAAAGCGUAGUCGAUGGGAAACAGGUUAAUAUUCCUGUACUUCUGGUUACUGCGAUGGAGGGACGGAGAAGGCUAGGCCAGCUUGGCGUUGGUUGUCCAAGUUUAAGGUGGUAGGCUGAAAUCUUAGGUAAAUCCGGGGUUUCAAGGCCGAGAGCUGAUGACGAGUCGUCUUUUAGAUGACGAAGUGGUUGAUGCCAUGCUUCCAAGAAAAGCUUCUAAGCUUCAGGUAACCAGGAACCGUACCCCAAACCGACACAGGUGGUCGGGUAGAGAAUACCAAGGCGCUUGAGAGAACUCGGGUGAAGGAACUAGGCAAAAUGGCACCGUAACUUCGGGAGAAGGUGCGCCGGCUAGGGUGAAGGAUUUACUCCGUAAGCUCUGGCUGGUCGAAGAUACCAGGCCGCUGCGACUGUUUAUUAAAAACACAGCACUCUGCAAACACGAAAGUGGACGUAUAGGGUGUGACGCCUGCCCGGUGCCGGAAGGUUAAUUGAUGGGGUUAGCGCAAGCGAAGCUCUUGAUCGAAGCCCCGGUAAACGGCGGCCGUAACUAUAACGGUCCUAAGGUAGCGAAAUUCCUUGUCGGGUAAGUUCCGACCUGCACGAAUGGCGUAACGAUGGCGGCGCUGUCUCCACCCGAGACUCAGUGAAAUUGAAAUCGCUGUGAAGAUGCAGUGUAUCCGCGGCUAGACGGAAAGACCCCGUGAACCUUUACUGUAGCUUUGCACUGGACUUUGAGCCUGCUUGUGUAGGAUAGGUGGGAGGCUUUGAAGCGUGGACGCCAGUUCGCGUGGAGCCAUCCUUGAAAUACCACCCUGGCAUGCUUGAGGUUCUAACUCUGGUCCGUGAUCCGGAUCGAGGACAGUGUAUGGUGGGCAGUUUGACUGGGGCGGUCUCCUCCUAAAGAGUAACGGAGGAGUACGAAGGUGCGCUCAGACCGGUCGGAAAUCGGUCGCAGAGUAUAAAGGCAAAAGCGCGCUUGACUGCGAGACAGACACGUCGAGCAGGUACGAAAGUAGGUCUUAGUGAUCCGGUGGUUCUGUAUGGAAGGGCCAUCGCUCAACGGAUAAAAGGUACUCCGGGGAUAACAGGCUGAUACCGCCCAAGAGUUCAUAUCGACGGCGGUGUUUGGCACCUCGAUGUCGGCUCAUCACAUCCUGGGGCUGAAGCCGGUCCCAAGGGUAUGGCUGUUCGCCAUUUAAAGUGGUACGCGAGCUGGGUUUAGAACGUCGUGAGACAGUUCGGUCCCUAUCUGCCGUGGACGUUUGAGAUUUGAGAGGGGCUGCUCCUAGUACGAGAGGACCGGAGUGGACGAACCUCUGGUGUUCCGGUUGUCACGCCAGUGGCAUUGCCGGGUAGCUAUGUUCGGAAAAGAUAACCGCUGAAAGCAUCUAAGCGGGAAACUUGCCUCAAGAUGAGAUCUCACUGGGAACUUGAUUCCCCUGAAGGGCCGUCGAAGACUACGACGUUGAUAGGCUGGGUGUGUAAGCGUUGUGAGGCGUUGAGCUAACCAGUACUAAUUGCCCGUGAGGCUUGACCAU
rnacentral:rRNA from 1 species